UACGUAGGCAGCAAGCGUUGUUCGGAGUUACUGGGCGUAAAGGGUGUGUAGGCGGUUUGGAUAAGAGUGGUGUGAAAUCUCCCGGCUUAACUGGGAGGGUGCGCUACAGACUGUCUGACUAGAGUGUGGGAUGGGAGAGUGGAAUUCCUGGUGUAGCGGUGAAAUGCGUAGAUAUCAGGAGGAACACCGGUGGUGUAGACGGCU
rnacentral:rRNA from 1 species